rnacentral:rRNA from 1 species
UGCCAGCCGCCGCGGUAAUACGGAGGGUCCGAGCGUUAUCCGGAAUCAUUGGGCGUAAAGCGCGCGUAGGUGGUUUGAUAAGCUAGCUGUGAAAGCCCCGGGCUCAACCUGGGAACUGCAGUUAGAACUGUCUGACUAGAGUAUGGUAGAGGAAAGUGGAAUUUCUGGUGUAGCGGUGAAAUGCGUAGAUAUCAGAAGGAACAUCAACGGCGAAGGCAGCUUUCUGGACCAAUACUGACGCUGAGGUACGAAAGCGUGGGUAGCAAACAGGAUUAGAUA